AUGUGUCAUGACUAUGUGUUUAUGUGUUCAUUCUGUCGUUGCUAUGCGUCGUUUCCCUCUGUAGUUACUAUGUGUCGUCUUCCAUGUCUAUGCUAUGCGUCUAUGCUAUGCGUCAUUUCCCUCUGUCGUUACUAUGUGUCGUCUUCCAUGUGUAUGCUAUGCGUCGUUACCCUCUGUCGUUACUAUGUGUCGUCUUCCAUGUCUAUGCUAUGCGUCGUUACCCUCUGUCGUUACUGUGUCGUCUUACAUGUCUAUUCUAUGCGUCGUUACCCUCUGUCGUUACUAUGUGUCGUCUUCCAUGUCUAUGCUAUGCGUCGUUGCUAUGCGUCGUUACCCUCUGUCGUUACUAUGUGUCGUCUUCCAUGUCUAUGCUAUGCGUCGAUGCUAUGCGUCGUUACCCUCUGUCGUUACUAUGUGUCGUCUUCCAUGUCUAUGCUAUGCGUCUUUGCUAUGCGUCGUUACCCUCUGUCGUUACUAUGUGUCGUCUUCCAUGUCUAUGCUAUGCGUCGUUGCUAUGCGUCGUUACCCUCUGUCGUUACUAUGUGUCGUCUUCCAUGUCUAUGCUAUGCGUCUAUGCUAUGCGUCGUUACCCUCUGUCGUUACUAUGUGUCGUCUUCCAUGUCUAUGCUAUGCGUCUUUGCUAUGCGUCGUUACCCUCUGUCGUUACUAUGUGUCGUCUUCCAUGUCUAUGCUAUGCGUCUAUGCUAUGCGUCGUUACCCUCUGUCGUUACUAUGUGUCGUCUUCCAUGUCUAUGCUAUGCGUCUAUGCUAUGCGUCGUUACCCUCUGUCGUUACUAUGUGUCGUCUUCCAUGUCUAUGCUAUGCGUCGUUGCUAUGCGUCGUUACCCUCUGUCGUUACUAUGUGUCGUCUUCCAUGUCUAUGCUAUGCGUCGUUGCUAUGCGUCGUUACCCUCUGUCGUUACUAUGUGUCGUCUUCCAUGUCUAUGCUAUGCGUCGUUGCUAUGCGUCGUUACCCUCUGUCGUUACUAUGUGUCGUCUUCCAUGUCUAUGCUAUGCGUCUAUGCUAUGCGUCGUUACCCUCUGUCGUUACUAUGUGUCGUCUUCCAUGUCUAUGCUAUGCGUCUAUGCUAUGCGUCGUUACCCUCUGUCGUUACUAUGUGUCGUCUUCCAUGUCUAUGCUAUGCGUCGUUGCUAUGCGUCGUUACCCUCUGUCGUUACUAUGUGUCGUCUUCCAUGUCUAUGCUAUGCGUCUAUGCUAUGCGUCGUUACCCUCUGUCGUUACUAUGUGUCGUCUUCCAUGUCUAUGCUAUGCGUCUAUGCUAUGCGUCGUUACCCUCUGUCGUUACUAUGUGUCGUCUUCCAUGUCUAUGCUAUGCGUCGUUGCUAUGCGUCGUUACCCUCUGUCGUUACUAUGUGUCGUCUUCCAUGUCUAUGCUAUGCGUCUAUGCUAUGCGUCGUUACCCUCUGUCGUUACUAUGUGUCGUCUUCCAUGUCUAUGCUAUGCGUCUAUGCUAUGCGUCGUUACCCUCUGUCGUUACUAUGUGUCGUCUUCCAUGUCUAUGCUAUGCGUCGUUGCUAUGCGCCGUUUCCCUCUGUCGUUACUAUGUGUCAUCUUCCAUGUCUAUGCUAUGCGUCGUUACCCUCUGUCGUUACUAUGUGUCGUCUUCCAUGUCUAUGCUAUGCGUCGUUGCUAUGCGUCGUUACCCUCUGUCGUUACUAUGUGUCGUCUUCCAUGUCUAUGCUAUGCGUCGUUGCUAUGCGUCGUUACCCUCUGUCGUUACUAUGUGUCGUCUUCCAUGUCUAUGCUAUGCGUCUAUGCUAUGCGUCGUUACCCUCUGUCGUUACUAUGUGUCGUCUUCCAUGUCUAUGCUAUGCGUCUAUGCUAUGCGUCGUUACCCUCUGUCGUUACUAUGUGUCGUCUUCCAUGUCUAUGCUAUGCGUCUAUGCUAUGCGUCGUUACCCUCUGUCGUUACUAUGUGUCGUCUUCCAUGUCUAUGCUAUGCGUCGUUGCUAUGUGGCAUCUUCCAUGUCUAUGCUAUGCGUCGUUGCUAUGCUUCGUUGCUAUGCGUCGUUUCCCUCUGUCGUUGCUAUGUGUUGUCUUCCAUGUCUAUGCUAUGCGUCGUUACCCUCUGUCGUUGCUAUGUGUCGUCUUCCAUGUCUAUGCUAUGCGUCGUUACUAUGCAUCGUUUCCCUCUCUUUUGUAUAUUUUUUUGUAAAAUUUUUGUAAAAUUUUAUUUUUAUACUGUACACUUAACAGUAUUUUUUUUUUUUAUUUCUUACUGUCCUCUGUUUUUAUUCUUUAAGUGA
ensembl:lncRNA